UGGGGAAUAUUGGACAAUGCGGGAAACCGUGAUCCAGCAAUGCCGCGUGAGUGAUGAAGGCCUUAGGGUUGUAAAGCUCUUUUACCAGGGAUGAUAAUGACAGUACCUGGAGAAUAAGCUCCGGCUAACUCCGUGCCAGCAGCCGCGGUAAUACGGAGGGAGCUAGCGUUGUUCGGAAUUACUGGGCGUAAAGCGCGCGUAGGCGGCUAUCCAAGUCAGGGGUGAAAUCCCGGGGCUCAACCUCGGAACUGCCUUUGAUACUGCUGGUCUCGAGUUCGAGAGAGGUGAGUGGAAUUCCGAGUGUAGAGGUGAAAUUCGUAGAUAUUCGGAGGAACACCAGUGGCGAAGGCGGCUCACUGGCUCGAUACUGACGCUGAGGUGCGAAAGCGUGGGGAGCAAACAGGAUUAGAUACCCGUGUAGUCC
rnacentral:rRNA from 1 species